rnacentral:tRNA from 1 species
GACCCUGUCGUCUAACGGCUCAGGACAUCCGGCUUUCUACCGGAUAAUACGGGUUCGAAUCCCGUCAGGGUCGCCA